rnacentral:sRNA from 1 species
GAUGGCACGAACAUUGAGUUUCUAAUUGUUCUAUUUGUAUCAGAAGCUACAACAUGUAAAGUUGAGUUACAUUGUUUGUCUUCAAAGUAAAAGAGACAGAAAACUGCCCCAAAUCCCCCCCAAGUCCUUUGUUUCUUCCUUUGCUCUGAAUUUUGUCGGAACAGCUACAGAGUGCGCCCAAAGUGUUCGUCCAUGGUUCUUCCCAACAAAACUAAUUCUAAUGAAUAAAUAAUCUUUUAUUUUGCAAAAUAUAAUUUAAGAACUGCUGCUCCAAAUUUCAUAAUAGGGAAAAGAGUAAAAAAAUUCAUGACAUUUAGAGGCCCAGCACUAGCCUAGGAAUUUGCUUCCCAUAUAUCUUGUCCAGUGCUCAUGCCAUGUUGAAAUACUUUUCAUUUUUCUUUCAUCAAAUUGCAUGCUUCACCAGCACGUCCAUAUUGAAUGCCAUCUAAACACUAAAAAUACAUCCCACAAAUCCUUUAGCAUUUUUAACCCGAAAACUUGCUACCACAAGCUUUCCCAGGAUGCACAUACUGAAUCUCUCUAUGUUGACGUUUUUUUUUUGGCAAACAAAAACUCAACUAACAAUUUGAGUAUAAUUUGUGGACAACAUAAAUGCUACUCAAUGGACAUAUGAAAGAAAAGCAGAGACAUAGAUGAGCAACAUGAGAACUUCAGCUUGAGAUAUACAUACCAACUAGAGAUUCAGUUGCUACUGCUUUACAAGACUAUUUCAUAGCACCUACAUAUAGGAGUGGGAGGCAUGGUGAAGCAAAGAAGUGCAUUGUUUGUCUACCAUCCAUCAAGAGUAAAAUUUUUAUCAACACGCAGUUCAGAUACUCUAGAUGCAGUAUAACUUCUCGGGUCUAUCUAUAACGGAGCCGCCGCUUCAAUUUUCCUAUUGCCUAACCAAUGGAGCAAACAAUGUAUAGUGUCUAGAUGGCUUUGGAAAGCAAUCCAAGAACAUCAGUGGUAGCUUGCUCCUAGUCCAGAAGGAAAAUGUGUCGCUUGACGAGGUACCACUGAAUCUUCACCAGCUAUCGUGAAUGGGAUGAUCUGAGUUGGAUGUGCAACCAAGACUUCGCCACAAAAAUGGGAAAUAGUCAUACCAAGAUGAAGCAAGCUAAGAUGCAUAUAUUACCAAUUAUAUAUGUAUCCCAAUUUACAAAUCAAUUAGCAUUACUGUGCGAUGUUAGAGAAAUAUUUCAGAUGAUUUUCCUACUCAGAAAGAACCUGGUA